ACGGGAGGCAGCAGUGGGGGAUAUUGGUCAAUGGGGGCAACCCUGAACCAGCGACGCCGCGUGAGUGAAGAAGCAUUUCGGUAUGUAAAGCUCUAUCAGCAGGGAAGAAAAAAUCAAAAUUGACAGUACCUGACUAAGAAGCCCCGGCUAACUACGUGCCAGCAGCCGCGGUAAUACGUAGGGGGCAAGCGUUAUCCGGAUUUACUGGGUGUAAAGGGAGCGUAGACGGCGAUGCAAGUCUGAUGUGAAAGCCCGGGGCUCAACCCCGGCACUGCAUUGGAAACUGUGUUGCUAGAGUGCAGGAGAGGUAAGUGGAAUUCCUAGUGUAGCGGUGAAAUGCGUAGAUAUUAGGAGGAACACCAGUGGCGAAGGCGGCUUACUGGACUGUAACUGACGUUGAGGCUCGAAAGCGUGGGGAGCAAACAGGAUUAGAUACCCUGGUA
rnacentral:rRNA from 1 species